GACCGUGACGGYACGUGAGUGGUGAGAUAACCCAGUGCGCUGGCGGGCUCCCUGCUUAAGUGCGGCCGACCGYGAGUGCGAUGGGRUAUGUUUCGUUCGUGAAAUCCCAAAAUCAUCGGGUCUCCGCACGAUGCGGAGGGCUUAUUCGGUGGGUUGUAUCGGAUAGUCGGAAUGCGGCAACUUGGUGACCCUACGUUAGUAAGAUCAUGUCCUCCUCCUCUCUCUCGYCCGCUCCCCUCGGACGGGCGGGAAGUGAGAAGCGGCCUCUUACGAUGACGUCCCGUGCGUCCUCGGCGGCGCUUGCAGUCGCGCGUGUGCGUACGUGCAGCACGCCUGCUUCGUCCGUCCRUCCAGACCUCGGGACGAUCGAGUGCUUACGGAUGCGGUGAAUUGGAUGGACGGGGGUCGGGUGGGCGCAGCGCAUGCUGUUGUCGACCCGACGAAUGGAAGGUGUUUGCGCACGCCGCGAGCGGGCAAACGAACGGAACGGAACGGAACGRAACGGAACGGAACGGAACGGAAUGAACGACCGCCAACGGGYGAGCAUGCGUCGUCGUCGUCUCGUCUCCGCAGAGGGAGGGAGAGAUGACGGGCUGUGCCGUCCGUGGGCGUCGUCCCGAARGGCUCGCUACCUGGUUGAUC
rnacentral:misc_RNA from 1 species